GUGUCAGCAGCCGCGGUAAUACGGAGGGUGCAAACGUUGCUCGGAAUCAUUGGGCGUAAAGCGCACGUAGGCGGUCGGCUAUGUCGGAUGUGAAAGCCUCGGGCUUAACCCGAGAAGGGCAUCCGAAACUGGCCGGCUUGAGUACGGAAGAGGGUCUCGGAAUUCCCGGUGUAGAGGUGAAAUUCGUAGAUAUCGGGAGGAACACCAGUGGCGAAGGCGGAGACCUGGGCCGAUACUGACGCUGAGGUGCGAAAGCGUGGGGAGCAAACAGGAUUAGAAACCCGCGUAGUCC
rnacentral:rRNA from 1 species